AGAGUUUGAUCCUGGCUCAGGAUGAACGCUAGCGGCAGGCUUAACACAUGCAAGUCGAGGGGUAUAUGUCUUCGGAUAUAGAGACCGGCGCACGGGUGCGUAACGCGUAUGCAAUCUACCUUUUACAGGGGAAUAGCCCAGAGAAAUUUGGAUUAAUGCCCCAUAGUAUUAUGAAAUGGCAUCAUUUUAUAAUUAAAGUCACAACGGUAAAAGAUGAGCAUGCGUCCCAUUAGUUAGUUGGUAAGGUAACGGCUUACCAAGACAAUGAUGGGUAGGGGUCCUGAGAGGGAGAUCCCCCACACUGGUACUGAGACACGGACCAGACUCCUACGGGAGGCAGCAGUGAGGAAUAUUGGACAAUGGACGCAAGCCUGAUCCAGCCAUGCCGCGUGCAGGAAGACGGUCCUAUGGAUUGUAAACUGCUUUUAUACAGGAAGAAACACUCCGACGUGUCGGAGCUUGACGGUACUGUAGGAAUAAGGAUCGGCUAACUCCGUGCCAGCAGCCGCGGUAAUACGGAGGAUCCAAGCGUUAUCCGGAAUCAUUGGGUUUAAAGGGUCCGUAGGCGGUUUAAUAAGUCAGUGGUGAAAUCUGGUCGCUCAACGAUCAAACGGCCAUUGAUACUGUUAGACUUGAAUUAUAAGGAAGUAACUAGAAUAUGUAGUGUAGCGGUGAAAUGCUUAGAUAUUACAUGGAAUACCAAUUGCGAAGGCAGGUUACUACUUAUGGAUUGACGCUGAUGGACGAAAGCGUGGGGAGCGAACAGGAUUAGAUACCCUGGUAGUCC
rnacentral:rRNA from 1 species